UUUCCAUUUAUUCGAAUUUCAUGCUCAUUAUUCAUUCUCCUGGGUUCUGUGAACGUCGUGCAUUUGAAGUGAUAUUUUAUUUUCUUGUAACGUGUUAUUUCCAUUGUUUGGUUGAAUAGAGAAAGUUCUAGUGAUAUUUUGGUAGAACUCAAGAUGUCUCGCUAUCGCGAAUGGGACCUCUCUUGCAAGGUUUACGUAGGUAACCUUGGUACGAAUGCCUCAAAAUAUGAAAUCGAAAAAGUAUUUUCUAAAUAUGGUACCAUCAGGAAUGUGUGGGUAGCGAGGAACCCUCCAGGUUUUGCGUUUGUUGAAUAUGAAGAUCCACGCGACGCUGAGGAUUCAGUUCGAGGUUUAGACGGCACACGUUGCUGUGGUACCAGAAUACGUGUUGAAAUGUCUAGUGGAAGAACACGACGUGAUCGCAGGUCCAUUUUAUCAACCAACCACCAACACACCAACGACCUCACCACAUCUGUUCACCACAACUACGGCUUCUUUACCGAUAAGACAUCCGCGACCGUCGCUCGCAACACCCCGCUCUGCGAUCGGCUCACCAACCUACGAUGCGCAACUGAAGCCUCCGCCAACAGCGUCCCCACAAUCCUCCUAACAGCUAUAACCUAAUCCUGAGACCUGAAUAAACCUGGACCCAACCUACUAUCGAGUGCCACACAGUAGGAACCUACAUCCUGAUUGUCAUUGCAAACUCCUGAAGCUUCGCGACUGCACACUUACGUCGUCACCGGGGCACAGAAUACUCAACUUGUGGCGUACUACAACCAUCCGCCCGCAAUUCGUUCUCGAAACUUCCGGUUAAAGUCACCAUUUGAAGAUCACAUUGAAAGUUGCUCCGCCUCGGUAUACAAACCCCCUUCGGCCUCACAGCAGCCCUCACAACGAUCGACGACCAACAAGGCUCACCAAGUCUCGAACACGCAGUCGUAGCCCUCGCAGGCGAUCGUACUCGCGCGGACGUUCGGGUUCGCCGCGCCGUUCGCCUUCGAUUCGCCGUCGUUCGCCCUCCGUGCGUCGCUCGCGGUCGCGCGACCGUCGCAGCCGAUCCGA